CCCAGUUCCACUCAACAGCAAGAGGAACACACAGACCACAAGCUUUUGCCAAAGUCUCCUACCAGUGAGUUUAGCUGUGUGUCAGGGGAACAUCUGUCUCUUUCUGCCUCAGCUCUUUUAUUCUCUGACAUUUAUCUGAUUUCUGAAUUCCCAUUCUUGUGAUACAUCCCAGCCCUAAUCUUGAAUUUCAGAAAACUUCAUAACUCCACAUGGAACCACGCUUUUGUGCUGACCUGUUAGAAAUGCUUUUCUUCUGCUCUACGUAAGAGUGACAGAGCAUUUACAACUCAGGAUGUGGAAGGUAUCAGGAAGCUGUCAUAUGCAUGCAAGAUUACUGAGACAGUCCCUUUCCUCCCAGCUCAACAGAACCUCCAAGGGAGAGCUUGAUGUCAUUACUUCUACAAUACCUGUGGUGACCACUUGGCUUCCACUGGAUAUUCAUCUACUGAAACACCAUCUUGGAUCAGCCAUGUCCGAAGUUUACUGAUUUUCUCUGGUAGAUAUAUGGAUGUUGAUCAGGUUUACAAGAAUUUAUUUUUUCUCUACCUUUUUCUCCACCCUUUUCUAUGGUUUCUGCCACAAAAAGGGAAAGAAUUAGCACUGUGUUCACUGGACAAAAUCUGGAUGUUAGUUUGCUGAGACCUACGAUGUAAUUGCUAGCAAUUGCAUCUUUUACCCGAAUAGUUUCCACAGGCUUCUAGGUGAAGGGCCUAAUUUAAAGCAUUCUACCCAUUAAAUUGACAAUACUGCCUCUCUCUGUGCAUUAACUAUUAGCCCAGCUUUUCCUUCCUUUUGCUCUAUGCAAUAUCUUCUAUUUAUUACUGUAAGAGGCAUACAUAUAACUGUGAAGGUUCAGAUGAUGUAUCUUCAAUUUGCAUAAGUUAACAGUUAAGAUGUGGUGAUCUUUGUAGUUGCCAUCAUGCUAAUUUGAUUGUCUGACAGGACUCAUGAUUAGCAGAUCAUAUAUAGGUGGAGAUAUUAUUUUGUAGUGCUAGUGCAGUCAGAACUGGAAGCUACUCUGAACAGGUAUUUUGGAGAGUACAUGUGAAAUGUCAAGUUGGAGGAACUUGACAAGAGGGCAAGAAUCUAAAAUGACUUUAUUAGACUCUUGAUGUGUGAUAGCACUACGUGAACAGAGCAGUGGGGAGGUGGGGGGAUACAUACGUGGAAGAGAAGAGCAAGUAGUUGGUAGAGAACUCCCCCUCCUCCCUUUGUCAUCCAAGAUGAUUAAUGAACCUCUCUGUGGCUCUGUCCUGGUCUCAUCAGAGAAAGAAUCCAGUUAGCUUUCUCAUAAUGGCAGAAGUAAUUAAAAAGGGGAUCAACUUCAGAGGAACAUAAAACACACACAAAAAUCUGCCUCUUUAGUGAUAUCCCCUACAUCCUUUACUGGU
rnacentral:lncRNA from 1 species